rnacentral:lncRNA from 1 species
GAAUGGUGCCAUUAGAUGAAUACAGCCAAGAAAUGAGCAAGGGAAAGCCGCCAGAGCCACGGGAUUGCUAAUGUUCUGGACUUUCGAUUAUAUGAGCCAAUAAACUUUCUCAAGCUUUGAGCACUCUGAAAUGAGUUUCCUUUUGAUUGCUCCUGGAGGCGCCCUCACUGGUACACAUGCUUUUUUGUUACUCUUUUAAAACCUGGACCUCCAAGAACACUGUGUAGAUUCGAUCAACGAUGGCUUCCUCGUUGUGUUGCCCUGCUGGGGAUGGAAGAUUUGUAGAUAAAGACUUGAUUGGGAAAGCUUUCAAUUCCGCCGAAGCUUCAUGUCUCCAGUGCAUAGAAAUUUCCUGAUGAUGUGAUAUGGGAAUACAGGUGUUUUUCUCAGGUUUUCUGUCACAGCCC